CCUGCAGUGGGUACGGGCAGACUAGAGUGCGGUAGGGGAGAUUGGAAUUUCCUGGUGUAGCGGUGGAAUGCGCAGAUAUCAGGAGGAACACCGAUGGCGAAGGCAGAUCUCUGGGCCGUAACUGACGCUGAGGAGCGAAAGGGUGGGGAGCAAACAGGCUUAGAUACCCUGGUAGUCCACCCCGUAAACGUUGGGAACUAGUUGUGGGGUCCAUUCCACGGAUUCCGUGACGCAGCUAACGCAUUAAGUUCCCCGCCUGGGGAGUACGGCCGCAAGGCUAAAACUCAAAGGAAUUGACGGGGACCCGCACAAGCGGCGGAGCAUGCGGAUUAAUUCGAUGCAACGCGAAGAACCUUACCAAGGCUUGACAUAUACGAGAACGGGCCAGAAAUGGUCAACUCUUUGGACACUCGUAAACAGGUGGUGCAUGGUUGUCGUCAGCUCGUGUCGUGAGAUGUUGGGUUAAGUCCCGCAACGAGCGCAACCCUCGUUCUAUGUUGCCAGCACGUAAUGGUGGGAACUCAUGGGAUACUGCCGGGGUCAACUCGGAGGAAGGUGGGGAUGACGUCAAAUCAUCAUGCCCCUUAUGUCUUGGGCUUCACGCAUGCUACAAUGGCCGGUACAAAGGGCUGCAAUACCGCGAGGUGGAGCGAAUCCCAAAAAGCCGGUCCCAGUUCGGAUUGAGGUCUGCAACUCGACCUCAUGAAGUCGGAGUCGCUAGUAAUCGCAGAUCAGCAACGCUGCGGUGAAUACGUUCCCGGGUCUUGUACACACCGCCCGUCAAGUCAUGAAAGUCGGUAACACCUGAAGCCGGUGGCCUAACCCUUGUGGAGGGAGCCGUCGAAGGUGGGAUCGGUAAUAGGACUAAGUCGAACAACG
rnacentral:rRNA from 1 species